UACGGGGGGGCAAGCGUUGUUCGGAAUUACUGGGCGUAAAGGGCUCGUAGGCGGCCAACUAAGUCAUACGUGAAAUCCCUCGGCUUAACCGGGGAACUGCGUCUGAUACUGGAUGGCUUGAGAUUGGGAGAGGGAUGCGGAAUUCCAGGUGUAGCGGUGAAAUGCGUAGAUAUCCGGAGGAACACCGGUGGCGAAGGCGGCAUCCUGGACCAACACUGACGCUGAGGAGCGAAAGCCAGGGGAGCAAACGGG
rnacentral:rRNA from 1 species